GACGAACGCUGGCGGCGUGCUUAACACAUGCAAGUCGAACGAAGUGGCGAACGGGUGAGUAACGCGUAAUCAACCUGCCCUUCUGAGGGGGACAACAGUUGGAAACGACUGCUAACACCGCCUCCUGUAGGAGGGGAUUGCGUGUGAUUAGCUAGGUGGGGGGGUAACGGCCCACCAAGGCGAUGAUCAGUAGGCGGUCUGGGAAGAAGAACGGCAAAAUUGGGACUGGGAACCGGCCCAGACUGCUACGGGGGGCAGCAGGUGGGAAAUUUCCGCAAUGGACGAAAGUCUGACGGAGCAACGCCGCGUGGGUGGUGACGGCCUUCGGGGUGGAAAGCUCUGUUAAUCGGGACGCGGUACCGGAAUAGAAAGCCACGGCUAACUACGUGCCAGCAGCCGCGGUAAUUC
rnacentral:rRNA from 1 species